CUUCUUUGCUGGCGACCGGCGCACGGGUGAGUAACACGUAUCCAACCUGCCCUUUACUCGGGGAUAGCCUUUCGAAAGAAGGAUUAAUACCCGAUGGCAUAAUGAUUCCGCAUGGUUUCAUUAUUAAAGGAUUCCGGUAAAGGAUGGGGAUGCGUUCCAUUAGGUUGUUGGUGAGGUAACGGCCCACCAAGCCUUCGAUGGAUAGGGGUUCUGAGAGGAAGGUCCCCCACAUUGGAACUGAGACACGGUCCAA
rnacentral:rRNA from 1 species